CCAACCUUCCUUCAGAGAAUUUAGAUAUUGUGGACUGGAUUGCAGAUUGAUAUAUUGUUUUUCAAGCUAGAAGAUUAUGUGUGGCUUGGAUUGAAUGGGAACUUUUGGAACAUUAUCUACCUAAAUUGCUUAGUUUUGGCAGUAGAUUUUGUAAAUUUUGGCCUGCAAUAAAGAACAUAUUGUGAUGGUCGCUUAAGUGCACUAAUUUUGCUAAUUUUUUUUUGUUUUCCUUCAGUUUCUUACAUGAACUUAGAUGAACAUGCAUUGGAACAUUAUGUACUUUUUGAAUAAUUUCUGGCAAUUUCUUAACCCAGAUCUGUGAACGGAAAAUAUUUCAAGCUUAUUGUCCAGUUAGGGAAUCAUAGGGUUGUGUUUUUUUUUUUUUUUCCUUCUGUGAUAACGAUUCAAGGUUGUGCUUAAGACGAUACAUUUAUGAGAAUGAGGUACAUUUUUAUGAUUUGGUUCUUCUCUGUAGACCGACAAUUAAGUUGGAUGAUGUAUCAAAGGAUUUUUCAUUUGUAUUUAUCUUUCAGUCUGGAAAUCUUCUUUUUGAAAUGUUUAUAUUUUUGUCAACUUGACAAGUGCCUAGUCUUAGGUUAGGGAUAAUAUCUCGUAAGUAUGAAGAAGUUUGACCUUUUGCAAUUCAAUGGCUCACAAGCUUUCCCAAUAUGCUACGUUCUAACUGAGGAGGAGGUUUUAUCAGGAGAUCCACUAGACUUCAGCGUGCAGUCUCCGUGCAUGAUGUGCCUUAGUUUCCUGGUGUCUUCUAUCAGUUUUCUCUAUAUUUUCAGCACUAUCAGAGAUUCCGCAAGUUUUGCCUGAUUAUAACACGUUUUUCUUGGUUUGUCAAAAAGAGAAAAGGUCCAUCACUAUAUUCAAAAGGAUUGGCAAUAGUUUGACUAUCUUUGCCGUCCACCUAACACAAUCAUCCUUUUGUUUGGGUUCGGGACCGGCUAUGCUUGGCAAAGCUCACAUAGAGGAAGUUGCAAGUCAGAUUAGUAAUCAAAUAAAAUGCCGAAGGAGGUUAGUAAUAGUGUAGUGCAUAUGUGAACAGGAACAUAGACUUGUUUAUAGGUACAUAUCCUACACGAAUUUGUAUGAGUAUUCAGUAUGAAUAAAUGCUGAGCGUUCUUCUUUUUUGUUUUUUGGGGAGUGAUUAUUGGUGUAUUCAGAAGAACGUGAACAAAGUAUCCAUAACCAUGUCACACUCUUUGGACAAGUGCACAUCAAAACAAAUGAAGCCAUGUGAUAUAGAUUUUGGAUAUAAUAGCUGUUGGUUUUCACAAGUAACCUAGAUUUGCACCGCUUAAUAGCUAUGCUUAACAGAAGUAAGACUAACUGAAUGGGUAUUGGGUAUUUGGAAUAGAAAGAAGAAUCUGUUUUUUCUUCUUUCUUUGCUCUUUUUUUUGUUCCCUUUAAUUUUUGUUUCUACAGGAAUGAAGUACGUUAUGCUUCAAUCAAGGUAAAAUUGAACUCAAAUUCUCAAUGGAUGAAAGUUUGCGCUGUAGCUAAUAUACUAUAAUAGAGCAAAUACCAAAAAAAAAAUAUUAAAAAAAAUAGGAUGCUUCUAACCUGUAUACAGCGGAUUAGAUGAAGCAGAAUCUCUCAUCUAACAUUUCCUAUGGGUAUCUUGAGGCAUCAAGAUGAAACAGAAUACUCUGCAUCCAUAAACAGCUUGUGCAGCUCCAGAUCAACAGCACAAAACUUUCUGAUUGUGAUAAGAAUUUAAAUGUCUGUUUUGUUGCUUUGUCCAUCUCUAUUUGGCUCAUCUAUCUUUUCAAAGAGAUUGAACAUAACUCAUUUGUCUCUAUUGAAGGCAUAUGCCCAAUGAGGUGAUGUAGAAAGUGUUCGUGCACAGAUUAUGUUGGACUUUAUGUGACAUUGGAACAGUAUAUGUACAAUAGGGAUUUAAUGUUCUUGUAGUUCUUAACUCCACUAAUGGUGUUAUCAUUUUGGUGACAAUGUCUACAUAGCUCUCAAAAGUUUUUUCCAUUUUGAAAAAGAAUGAAACUUGAAAUGGCUGUCAAAGGCAUCGAUUUAUGCCAGCCAAAAUGACCAUGGAUCCUUAAGUGUGGACAAUCUUAGUGCUCGUUUGGUUGGGAAACAACUUAUCCCGGGAUUAGUUAUUCCACCCUCAAGGUGGGAUAAAAUAAGGCUACAAUCCCGGGAUAA